AGCAGUCGCCGCGGGAAUACGGAGGGUGCAAGCGUUAAUCGGAAUUACUGGGCGUAAAGCGCACGCAGGCGGUCUGACAAGUCAGAUGUGAAAUCCCCGGGCUUAACCUGGGAACUGCAUUUGAAACUGUCAGGCUGGAGUCUUGUAGAGGGGGGUGAAAUUCCAAGUGUAGCGGUGAAAUGCGUAGAGAUCUGGAGGAAUACCGGUGGCGAAGGCGGCCCCCUGGACAAAGACUGACGCUCAGGUGCGAAAGCGUGGGGAGCAAACAGGAUUAGAGACCCCGGUAGUCCCUGUCUCUUAUAC
rnacentral:rRNA from 1 species